rnacentral:rRNA from 1 species
CCUACGGGCGGCUGCAGUGGGGAAUAUUGGACAAUGGGGGGAACCCUGAUCCAGCCAUGCCGCGUGUGUGAAGAAGGCCCUCGGGUUGUAAAGCACUUUCAGUGAGGAAGAACGCCUGGUGGUUAAUACCCAUCAGGAAAGACAUCACUCACAGCAGAAGCACCGGCUAACUCCGUGCCAGCAGCCGCGGUAAUACGGAGGGUGCGAGCGUUAAUCGGAAUUACUGGGCGUAAAGCGCGCGUAGGUGGCUUGAUAAGCCGGUUGUGAAAGCCCCGGGCUCAACCUGGGAACGGCAUCCGGAACUGUCAAGCUAGAGUGCAGGAGAGGAAGGUAGAAUUCCCGGUGUAGCGGUGAAAUGCGUAGAGAUCGGGAGGAAUACCAGUGGCGAAGGCGGCCUUCUGGACUGACACUGACACUGAGGUGCGAAAGCGUGGGUAGCAAACAGGAUUAGAUACCCUGGUAGUC